rnacentral:rRNA from 1 species
CAGUCGCCGCCACGGUAAUACGAAGGGGGCUAGCGUUGUUCGGAUUAACUGGGCGUAAAGGGUGCGUAGGCGGGGUCUUAAGUCAGGGGUGAAAUGCCGAGGCUCAACUUCGGAACUGCCUUUGAUACUGGAACUCUUGAGUCCGGGAGAGGUGAGUGGAACUGCGAGUGUAGAGGUGAAAUUCGUAGAUAUUCGCAAGAACACCAGUGGCGAAGGCGGCUCACUGGCCCGGUACUGACGCUGAGGCACGAAAGCGUGGGGAGCAAACAGGAUUAGAUACCCGUGUAGUCCCUGUCUCUUU